AAGACUAUACUUUCAGGGAUCAUUUUUAUAGUUCGUUACUACAGAAGUUUCUCUGAAAGAGAUAUGGGAACAUAUGUAUAUGUAUAACUGAUUCAC
ensembl:snoRNA U3 Small nucleolar RNA U3